CCCACUGUGUGGAUGGCUUUGUGGUCUGCUGCGAGGUCCUGCAGAAGAGGAAGUCUGGAUGUGCCCUACUGACAUGCCCUGCCUCCUGGCCUAUGAAUUUUCUGGGUCAACUGCUGUCCAGAGUGGGCCUUGGCAGUCUUGCAGCACUGAGGAGUGAAGGAAUAUUUGGGAGGAUCAGAAGCUUGGUCCUGAUUUUGCCAUCAACCAGGACCUUGAUGACUUCAAGGGAGUCCCCAAAUCCUGGGUUUCUGUUUUCUCAACUCUAACAUGAGGGGCUAGACGCAUCUGGUUUAGUUCGUCUCCAUGAUGAAUUAGUUCGUCUCCAUGAUCCUGUGAAUUUCAGAUGUUGAAAAUCUUCAGAACAGCCCUGAAAGAUGAACAGUGGUCCCAAAUAGUCAAGACCCCCUGCUGGGAGAAGCUUCUAUCCUGCUCUGUGGAAGAAAUGGGCAUGCCAGAUGCCCGGAAGAUCAGAGGCUCACAUUCCAGGUAGACCACCCUGGUUCUUCUCAUCAGAAUCAACUAGAGAG